rnacentral:rRNA from 1 species
UUAAGUUAUUAAGGGCGCACGGUGGAUGCCUUGGCACUAGAAGCCGAUGAAGGACGUUACUAACGACGAUAUGCUUUGGGGAGCUGUAAGUAAGCUUUGAUCCAGAGAUUUCCGAAUGGGGAAACCCAGCAUGAGUUAUGUCAUGUUAUCGAUAUGUGAAUACAUAGCAUAUCAGAAGGCACACCCGGAGAACUGAAACAUCUUAGUACCCGGAGGAAGAGAAAGAAAAUUCGAUUCCCUUAGUAGCGGCGAGCGAAACGGGAAGAGCCCAAACCAACAAGCUUGCUUGUUGGGGUUGUAGGACACUCUAUACGGAGUUACAAAGGACGACAUUAGACGAAUCAUCUGGAAAGAUGAAUCAAAGAAGGUAAUAAUCCUGUAGUCGAAAAUGUUGUCUCUCUUGAGUGGAUCCUGAGUACGACGGAGCACGUGAAAUUCCGUCGGAAUCUGGGAGGACCAUCUCCUAAGGCUAAAUACUCUCUAGUGACCGAUAGUGAACCAGUACCGUGAGGGAAAGGUGAAAAGCACCCCGGAAGGGGAGUGAAAUAGAACCUGAAACCGUGUGCUUACAAGUAGUCAGAGCCCGUUAAUGGGUGAUGGCGUGCCUUUUGUAGAAUGAACCGGCGAGUUACGAUUUGAUGCAAGGUUAAGCAGUAAAUGUGGAGCCGUAGCGAAAGCGAGUCUGAAUAGGGCGUUUAGUAUUUGGUCGUAGACCCGAAACCAGGUGAUCUACCCUUGGUCAGGUUGAAGUUCAGGUAACACUGAAUGGAGGACCGAACCGACUUACGUUGAAAAGUGAGCGGAUGAACUGAGGGUAGCGGAGAAAUUCCAAUCGAACCUGGAGAUAGCUGGUUCUCUCCGAAAUAGCUUUAGGGCUAGCCUCAAGUGAUGAUUAUUGGAGGUAGAGCACUGUUUGGACGAGGGGCCCCUCUCGGGUUACCGAAUUCAGACAAACUCCGAAUGCCAAUUAAUUUAACUUGGGAGUCAGAACAUGGGUGAUAAGGUCCGUGUUCGAAAGGGAAACAGCCCAGACCACCAGCUAAGGUCCCAAAAUAUAUGUUAAGUGGAAAAGGAUGUGGCGUUGCCCAGACAACUAGGAUGUUGGCUUAGAAGCAGCCAUCAUUUAAAGAGUGCGUAAUAGCUCACUAGUCGAGUGACACUGCGCCGAAAAUGUACCGGGGCUAAACAUAUUACCGAAGCUGUGGAUUGUCCUUUGGACAAUGGUAGGAGAGCGUUCUAAGGGCGUUGAAGCAUGAUCGUAAGGACAUGUGGAGCGCUUAGAAGUGAGAAUGCCGGUGUGAGUAGCGAAAGACGGGUGAGAAUCCCGUCCACCGAUUGACUAAGGUUUCCAGAGGAAGGCUCGUCCGCUCUGGGUUAGUCGGGUCCUAAGCUGAGGCCGACAGGCGUAGGCGAUGGAUAACAGGUUGAUAUUCCUGUACCACCUAUAAUCGUUUUAAUCGAUGGGGGGACGCAGUAGGAUAGGCGAAGCGUGCGAUUGGAUUGCACGUCUAAGCAGUAAGGCUGAGUAUUAGGCAAAUCCGGUACUCGUUAAGGCUGAGCUGUGAUGGGGAGAAGACAUUGAGUCUUCGAGUCGUUGAUUUCACACUGCCGAGAAAAGCCUCUAGAUAGAAAAUAGGUGCCCGUACCGCAAACCGACACAGGUAGUCAAGAUGAGAAUUCUAAGGUGAGCGAGCGAACUCUCGUUAAGGAACUCGGCAAAAUGACCCCGUAACUUCGGGAGAAGGGGUGCUCUUUAGGGUUAACGCCCAGAAGAGCCGCAGUGAAUAGGCCCAAGCGACUGUUUAUCAAAAACACAGGUCUCUGCUAAACCGUAAGGUGAUGUAUAGGGGCUGACGCCUGCCCGGUGCUGGAAGGUUAAGAGGAGUGGUUAGCUUCUGCGAAGCUACGAAUCGAAGCCCCAGUAAACGGCGGCCGUAACUAUAACGGUCCUAAGGUAGCGAAAUUCCUUGUCGGGUAAGUUCCGACCCGCACGAAAGGCGUAACGAUUUGGGCACUGUCUCAACGAGAGACUCGGUGAAAUCAUAGUACCUGUGAAGAUGCAGGUUACCCGCGACAGGACGGAAAGACCCCGUGGAGCUUUACUGUAGCCUGAUAUUGAAAUUCGGCACAGCUUGUACAGGAUAGGUAGGAGCCUUUGAAACGUGAGCGCUAGCUUACGUGGAGGCGCUGGUGGGAUACUACCCUAGCUGUGUUGGCUUUCUAACCCGCACCACUUAUCGUGGUGGGAGACAGUGUCAGGCGGGCAGUUUGACUGGGGCGGUCGCCUCCUAAAAGGUAACGGAGGCGCUCAAAGGUUCCCUCAGAAUGGUUGGAAAUCAUUCAUAGAGUGUAAAGGCAUAAGGGAGCUUGACUGCGAGACCUACAAGUCGAGC